rnacentral:rRNA from 1 species
GACGAACGCUGGCGGCGUGCCUAACACAUGCAAGUCGAGCGAGAGACUUCGGUCUCUAGCGGCGGACGGGUGAGUAACACGUGGGUAACCUGCCUCAUAGUGGGGGAUAGCCUUCCGAAAGGAAGAUUAAUACCGCAUAUACUCUCGAUACCACAUGGUAUUUAGAGGAAAGGAGCAAUCCGCUAUGAGAUGGACCCGCGGCGCAUUAGCUAGUGGGUGAGGUAACGGCUCACCAAGGCGACGAUGCGUAGCCGACCUGAGAGGGUGAUCGGCCACAUUGGAACCGAGACACGGUCCAGACUCCUACGGGAGGCAGCAGUGGGGAAUAUUGCACAAUGGGCGAAAGCCUGAUGCAGCAACGCCGCGUGAGUGAUGACGGCCUUCGGGUUGUAAAGCUCUGUCUUUUGGGACGAUAAUGACGGUACCAAAGGAGGAAGCCACGGCUAACUACGUGCCAGCCGCCGCUGUAACAC